rnacentral:rRNA from 1 species
CGAACGCUGCGGCGUGYCUAAUACAUGCAAGUCGAACGCACUGACGGAGAACUUGUUCUCUUGACGUGAGUGGCGCACGGGUGAGUAACACGUGGGAAACCUACCCUUCAGCGGGGGAUAACCAUCGGAAACGAUGACUAAUACCGCAUAGACGACAGAACCGCCAGGUUCAAUCGGGAAAGACGGCUUCGGCUGUCACUGAAGGAUGGUCCCGCGCUGCAUUAGCUAGUUGGUAAGGUAACGGCUUACCAAGGCGAUGAUGCAUAGCCGACCUGAGAGGGUGAUCGGCCACAUUGGGACUGAGACACGGCCCAAACUCCUACGGGAGGCAGCAGUAGGGAAUCUUCCGCAAUGGACGCAAGUCUGACGGAGCAACGCCGCGUGUGUGAAGAAGGUUUUCGGAUCGUAAAGCACUGUUAUUAGAGAAGAACAGCCCGAUAGAGUAACUGUUAUCGGUUUGACGGUAUCUAACCAGAAAGUGACGGCUAACUACGUGCCAGCAGCCGCGGUAAUACGUAGGUCACAAGCGUUGUCCGGAUUUAUUGGGCGUAAAGGGAGCGCAGGCGGUUUGUUAAGUCUGAUGUGAAAGCCCACGGCUCAACCGUGGAACGGCAUUGGAAACUGGCAAACUUGAGUAUAGAAGAGGAAAGUGGAAUUCCAUGUGUAGCGGUGAAAUGCGUAGAUAUAUGGAGGAACACCAGUGGCGAAGGCGACUUUCUGGUCUAUAACUGACGCUGAGGCUCGAAAGCGUGGGGAGCGAACAGGAUUAGAUACCCUGGUAGUCCACGCCGUAAACGAUGAGUGUUAAGUGUUGGGGGGCUUCCACCCCUCAGUGCUGGCGUUAACGCAAUAAACACUCCGCCUGGGGAGUACGACCGCAAGGUUGAAACUCAAAGGAAUUGACGGGGGCCCGCACAAGCGGUGGAGCAUGUGGUUUAAUUCGAAGCAACGCGAAGAACCUUAACAGGGUCUUGGACAUCUCUUGCAUAGGCCUAGAGAUAGGUGAAACCCUYCSGGGSAAAGAAGMAGGUGGUGCAUGGUGGUCGUCAGCUCGUG